AAUCUACUGGAAAAGUAUUUACCUUGUCUCGUAUAAAUUUUUCUUGAAGACAAGUCAUUAUGUUUUAACUAUUUUGCCCAAUAACAUGCAUUCUCUAACAAUUUCACACGGCCACGUUUUCUUUUUCUUUUUCACGAACAACAAUUCAAGCUAGAUCCAUCCAUAGCCGAAGCCAGAUGUUGUUUGCCUUUGUUUGCGAGCGUCUCGUGUGUGUUCUCGUCCACAAGAAGAUUAAAGGUAAAAGCAUUAAAUUUACCUAAGGAAGCUUCGUUCCUCGUUUGUGCGGUGUGCAAAGAUUGCGCGCAAUUCCCGCUGUUCUCGGAGUGCCGAUGAAGUACGAGUCGUUCAAGGAAUCAACGAAAUGUGCGGGCGCUUGAAUGACUCCAUGGCUGACGCCCGUGGCCACCUGCUACACGCCAGUGCGAAAGAAACUAAAGCACUGUGGGGGCUGCAGGGUGGCUUUGCCAGUAGGAAGGGCGGAAAUUCCUGAAGAUGUAUUCAUCCAUGCUGCAUCAGCUGCUUGGUGUUUUCAUGGCAUCUCUGCACAUGUGCUGGGUUGAUCUUAAGCAGAAAACCAGAAGCGGCAGUGGUCUCCAGUAGAGACCCAAGGACCCCAAGCUCUCUGUGACACAAACAGGA